rnacentral:rRNA from 1 species
UACGUAGGGGGCAAGCGUUGUUCGGAAUUACUGGGCGUAAAGGGCGUGUAGGCGGUGCGGUAUGUUGGACGUGAAAUCCCCGGGCUCAACUCGGGGCGGUCGUUCAAAACUGCCGUGCUAGAGUGUGGGAGAGGGAAGUGGAAUUCCCGGUGUAGUGGUGAAAUGCGUAGAUAUCGGGAGGAACACCAGUGGCGAAGGCGACUUCCUGGCCUGUUCUUGACGCUGAGGCGCGAAAGCUAGGGUAGCAAACGGG